rnacentral:tRNA from 1 species
GCCCGGGUGCUGGAAUCGGUAGACAGGGCCGACUCAAAAUCGGCUGCCGCAAGGCGUGUGGGUUCGAGUCCCACCCCGGGUAC